UACGUAGGGUGCGAGCGUUAAUCGGAAUUACUGGGCGUAAAGCGUGCGCAGGCGGUUCUGUUAGACCGGUGUGAAAUCCCCGGGCUUAACCUGGGAACUGCAUUGGUGACUGCAGAGCUAGAGUGUGUCAGAGGGAGGUGGAAUUCCGCGUGUAGCAGUGAAAUGCGUAGAGAUGCGGAGGAACACCGAUGGCGAAGGCAGCCUCCUGGGAUAACACUGACGCUCAGGCACGAAAGCGUGGGGAGCAAACAGG
rnacentral:rRNA from 1 species